GGGUGCUUAGCUCAGCGGGAGAGCACUUGCUUCACACGCAAGGGGCCACUGGUUCAAGUCCAGUAGUACCCACCA
rnacentral:tRNA from 2 species